rnacentral:misc_RNA from 1 species
GAUGCUGAAAUCCUACAAGCUUUGCAGGGAACGGGUUUUGAGAAAAUAGCCCAAUUGACAAGCACUUGUAGAUUGAACAAGUCACUAGUAGAAGCAUUACUAUUAAAGUUCAAUAAAGAAGAAGAUGGCAUUGUUCUAAAUGAACUUACUACAAUACACAUCACAUUGGAAGAUGUGUACUUUGUAUUGGGCAUUCCAAUCGAUGGGGAAGCUAUCAUUCAUAUAAUAAAAGAUGAAGAAGAAACAAUUUUAAGGAUAUGGGGGCGUGAGAUAUCUAAUGGUAAGGUUACCACAUCCCUUUUACUGAGAUAUAUAGGUAAUAACGAUAUAAGAAAAAGAACCAUCGCAUACGUCCUUUAUGUGCUAGGCACUUUCUUAUUGCCUCAGCCAAAAGAAGUACCAAUUAUGUAAAUUCAAUUUUUGAAAGAUGAGGACAAAAUCGGCACGUAUGCAUGGAAAGCAGUUGUUCUGGCCCAUUUAAUGUUUUCAAUAAAGAGAUGGAUAAAAGAUAGAAGGGACACUCUUUCUAGGUGGACAUUUUUGUUGGAGGUGAUUUUUUUGGAGAAGUUAUCACAGUUACCCACUAUGAUGAAUAUAAGAAAUUUUGAGCAGCAGCCACUUCCGUUUGUUUAUUGGGUGGCCAAGGCUUUUUUGGAAUAAGGAUCAUAGCAUUUCUAGGAACAGAGAUAUAAACUAUUUCACUACUUUUCUUACGAUCAGCAAGUAGAAAAU